rnacentral:rRNA from 1 species
UCAGGAUGAACGCUAGCUACAGGCUAACACAUGCAAGUCAGGGGCAGCAUGGCUUAGCUUGCUAAGACUGAUGGCGACCGGCGCACGGGUGAGUAACGCGUAUCCAACUUCCCAUAGUAGGGGAUAGCCGGCGAAAGUCGGAUUAAUACCCUAUGUUAUUCGAUGCAGACAUCUAAGUUGAAUCAAAGGUUUACCGCUAUGGGAUGGGGAUGCGUCUGAUUAGGUUGCAGGCGGGGUAACGGCCACCUGGCCCACGAUCAGUAGGGGUUCUGAGAGGAAGGUCCCCCACAUUGGAACUGAGACACGGUCCAAACUCCUACGGGAGGCAGCAGUGAGGAAUAUUGGUCAAUGGACGAGAGUCUGAACCAGCCAAGUAGCGUGCAGGAUGACGGCCCUAUGGGUUGUAAACUGCUUUUAUGCGGGGAUAAAGUGAGGGACGUGUCCCUUUUUGUAGGUACCGCAUGAAUAAGGACCGGCUAAUUCCGUGCCAGCAGCGGC